UCAAAUAUGAAGAUGCGUUGGUACGUGCUGGGGUGGUGUCACUGUUCCUGCGGAGAAAGACCAUUUGCGAGAAACUUUUUGCUCAAAUGUGUGAUGAAUCAUCCCAUAAACUCCAUUCUCUCGUUCCCCCAAGACAUAAAACAGGAUAUUCUCUACGUAAUGAUAAUUGUCUUUCAAUACCAAAGCAUAGGACAAGUAGGUUUGCUAACAGUUUUAUUAUGGCCGGUAGUAAGGCCUACAACUCCAGUUUUAAAUAAUAAUAUUUAAGCUAUAUUCUUACCUAGAACUAUUACAAUUAACAGCUUGUAAAUAAUGAAUGUUUGUAGACAUUUUACUCGUAUGCAUGUA